UGAUCGUAAACUAAAACAAGAGAACCCGAACCCUAAGUUAAUGAGCCCUAAUCCAUUUUUUUUAAUUCGGCGUCACUCAGUUGCUCAAAUUGAAGCAGAUCGCUAUUUUUACGUCACCCAUUUUCGUUCGCAAUUCCUUGUUCGACGAAGCUUCAUCUCUGUUUCCGGGAGUAACGACUUUCGGUUAUCUUUCAUAUCUUCAGGUUUGAAUUUUUUUGCUCCAUGGGAUGAUUUUUUGCUUAGGUAGGUUUAGGUAGCAUUGUACGCUUCACUGCUUUUAAUCGUUGAACUGAACAUAGCGGAUAGAAAGAAAAGGGGAGAAAGCAAGAAAAGAUGAAAAAAGAUAGAGAAGGGUUGGGAGAAGCAAAAAUAAAUGAGUUGCUUGAGUAUUUAUGUAUAAAUUUAGUUUCUUGUUCAUUUUCCCCAUGCACCACGAUAGCAUUCUUAUUGUUUUAUCGCUUUGAUUUUAAGAUGAUGUUUCUUAACCUAUAAGCUUCUUUUUCUGCAAGUACUGUGCUUAGAAAAUAAGAGAUCGUUAAUGUUUCUUCCCCCUUCUGCAUGGACAAAAGCUAAGUGCUGAGUUUGAUAUUGGAUGUUUUAAUGGAUAGAGAAAGGGAGCAUAAUACUGACUCUGUGACUAGCCUAUGCUGCAAAAUUCCGAAUGCAAGCUGUAAUUACGAUUCUAUUAUAAAAUAUUGUAUUUAUUGACACAUGAAUGACAUAUUGCGGUAAAGAAUUUGGUUCAUAUAUAUAUAUAUUUUUGGUAUAUGUAUUGUAUGGAAGAAAAAAAAGGUGUCUGUGCUUUAGGGUCCCUGCCGAGUGAACCUUGGUCAGGUUUGUUCCCUUCCCCACUCGUUUCUUUAUGCCGGAAAAUUGUUAGCAAACAAGACUGCUAGAUCUAUGAUCUAUCUAGUGGUAUCUCUUGUACUCAUUCUCGUUGGAAUUGAUGUUAUGUUGGGUUAGAUAUUUCAUGUGGUUUGAUUUGACAACAAGAGAUGGAUUAAAGGAAACUAUGGUAAUUGAUUUUAGUGCUGACCUUUAAAGGAAAGAAAAAUAAACCUUCUGAUUUGAUAACCAUGAAUUACUAUGUUGUAAAAUAACUACUGUCACAUGGGCAGGAUUUCAGUACCACUAAAUUAUGCUUGAGUUUUUGUAUUCAGUAUCUCCUGUGAUGAUGACUGAUGAAUGAUACGGCGUCCACUGUGUAACUUGUUUUGCCUUCUUUCCAGGAAGUUUAUACAUCAUGGUCAAUGCCACUAAAGGAGUAUUCAUUUCCUGUGAUAUACCCAUGGCCCAAUAUAUCAUCAAUAUGAAUGCUUCACUGCCUGCCUCUGAUAAGUUCAUUAUACAUAUCUUGGAUAAUACCCACAUGUUUGUCCAACCUCAUGUUGAGCAAAUGAUACGAAGUCAGAUUGCCAAGUUUAGAGAGGACAAUACAUAUGUCAAGCCUACUUGAUUCUGUACGGUCCCCCUCGAAUGGUUUAUAGAAAAGGCUAUAGUGAAUAUUCUGGCACAUUUUAUGUUGGUUAUUAAUUCACUUUGUUAAGCCCGUUUUUGUAUCCUAAUUUAUCACAAGUAAAAAAUAUAUAUUAUUAGUUACUAAUAAUCCCCUUCUAAAAAUAAUCCUCUGUUGUUACACGGUACACACCUCCCCCCUUCCUUCUCUUUGGCCAAAACUUAAGAUCGCUUUUGUUGCUCAUUAUUCUGAUGUUAGUUUUGUUUUUUUCUUUAGCUUCGUUCUUAACUAGAUUUAACAACUACUUUUCAAAUUUCCCCAUUACUUCUAUACAAGCAUCUUGGUUUCGCUUUGAACAAGAGUUUGGCGCACACAUAGCACAAAAUCUUGUAUUCUAUGAAAGUGUGUGUGUGUGUUUUUCUUUUGAUCUUAGAUGGUGAUUCAAGAUGCUGUUCUGGGUUGUUUAUGGGCCUCGUUGGUUUGACUAUUGUUCGGAUUCCCUCCUGACUCGG